rnacentral:rRNA from 1 species
GUCUACCAUCAUCCCACCCUGAACUCACCUGAUCUCAUCUGCUCUUAGAAGCUAAGCUGGGUUGGGUAUGGUUAGUACUUGGAUGGGAGAAAAAAACAAAUUGAGUAUC